UACGAAGGAUGCUAGCGUUGUCCGGAAUCAUUGGGCGUAAAGGGUGCGUAGGCGGUCAUGUAAGUCAGUUGUGAAAGCCUCGGGCUCAACCCGGGAAGUGCUUCGGAUACUGCUUGGCUUGAGUAUUGGAUAGGUGAGUGGAAUUCCAGGUGUAGUGGUGAAAUACGUAGAUAUCUGGAGGAACACCGGCGGCGAAGGCGGCUCACUGGCCAUAUACUGACGCUGAAACACGAAAGCGUGGGGAGCAAACAGG
rnacentral:rRNA from 1 species